UAGUCCACGCCGUAAACGAUGUCUGCUAGCCGUUGGGGUCCUUAGGGCUUCAGUGGCGCCGCUAACGCAUUAAGCAGACCGCCUGGGGAGUACGGUCGCAAGAUUAAAACUCGAAGGAAUUGACGGGGGCCUGCACAAGCGGUGGAGCAUGUGGUUUAAUUCGAAGCAACGCGCAGAACCUUACCAGCCUUUGACAUCCUAGGACGGUUUCUGGAGAUAGACUCCUUCCCUUCGGGGACCUAGUGACAGGUGCUGCAUGGCUGUCAUCAGCUCGUGUCGUGAGAUGUUGGGUUAAGUCCCGCAACGAGCGCAACCCUCAUCCUUAGUUGCCAUCAUUUAGUUGGGCACUUUAAGGAAACUGCCGGUGAUAAGCCGGAGGAAGGUGGGGAUGACGUCAAGUCCUCAUGGCCCUUACAGGCUGGGCUACACACGUGCUACAAUGGUAUCUACAGUGAGCAGCGAUCCCGCGAGGGUUAGCUAAUCUCCAAAGNUAUCUCAGUUCGG
rnacentral:rRNA from 1 species